rnacentral:rRNA from 1 species
GCAGUCGAACGCACUCGACCUUCGGGUCACAUGAGUGAGUGGCGAACGGGUGAGUAACACGUGAGGAACCUGCCCCGAAGACUGGAAUAACCCGAGGAAACUCGGGCUAAUACCGGAUAUCCCCACCAGGCCGCAUGGCCAGGUGAGGAAAUGCUCCGGCGCUUCGGGAGGGUCUCGCGACCUAUCAGCUAGUUGGUGAGGUAACGGCUCACCAAGGCAUCGACGGGUAGCUGGUCUGAGAGGACGAUCAGCCACACUGGGACUGAGACACGGCCCAGACUCCUACGGGAGGCAGCAGUGGGGAAUCUUGCGCAAUGGGCGAAAGCCUGACGCAGCCACGCCGCGUGAGGGAUGAAGGCUUUCGGGUUGUAAACCUCUUUCAGCAGGGACGAAAAUGACGGUACCUGCAGAAGAAGCUCCGGCCAACUACGUGCCAGCAGCCGCGGUAACACGUAGGGAGCAAGCGUUGUCCGGAUUUAUUGGGCGUAAAGAGCUCGUAGGCGGUUCAGUAAGUCGGGUGUGAAAACUUGAGGCUCAACCUCAAGAGGCCACUCGAUACUGCUGUGACUGGAGUCCGGUAGAGGAGUGUGGAAUUCCUGGUGUAGCGGUGAAAUGCGCAGAUAUCAGGAGGAACACCGACAGCGAAGGCAGCACUCUGGGCCGGUACUGACGCUGAGGAGCGAAAGCAUGGGGAGCGAACAGGAUUAGAUACCCUGGUAGUCCAUGCCGUAAACGUUGGGCACUAGGUGUGGGGUCUAGCUAACAGA